rnacentral:rRNA from 1 species
GAAUCCGCUAAGGAGUGUGUAACAACUCCCCUGCCGAAUGAAUUAGCCCUGAAAAUGGAUGGCGCUGAAGCGGGCAGCCGACACCACGCCGUUCGGACAAGCUUGCUAUCCGGAUGAGUAGGGGGUAACGCGGCGGUUGUAUCGAAGCGCGGCCCGCGAGGGCGCGUGGAACGGCCGCCGGUGCAGAUCUUGGUGUUAGUAGCAAAUAUUCAAACGUGAUCCUUGAAGGGCGAAGCGGGGAAGGGUUCCACGCCAACAUUGCUUGAGCGUGGGUGAGUCGUUCCUAAGCCGAUCGGCCAUUGCUGAUCACACGGCGAAAGGGAAGCAGGUUGACAUUCCUGCACACGGAUGUGGAUGCGGUGACGCCCGUCGGCACAGUGACCCCGGGGGUGGAGCUGGGCAGAGAUUUCUUUUCUGUUUGAGCAAUAGGCGCACGCUGUGGAAUCCGCUUGUCGGGAGAAACAGGUGCGCUGGGGCAUAGCGCGGGGCCUUUUCCCGCGUCCAGCAUGCCACUGUCGGGCCUUGAAAAGCUGUGUGCUGGCAUUGGGGUUUCUUUCGAAACCUCAGUGUGUGAAAAAUUCCACGCCGUAACGUACCCAUAACCGCAUCAGGUCCCCAAGGUGAACAGCCUCUGCCGCAUAUGGUAAAUGCAGGUAAGGGAAGUCGGCA